UACAGAGGGUGCGAGCGUUAAUCGGAAUUACUGGGCGUAAAGCGUGCGUAGACGGUUAUUUAAGUCGGGUGUGAAAGCCCCGGGCUCAACCUGGGAAUUGCAUUCGAGACUGAAUAGCUAGGGUACGGUAGAGGGAAGCGGAAUUUCCGGUGUAGCGGUGAAAUGCGUAGAUAUGCGGAGGAACACCGAUGGCGAAGGCAGCCUCCUGGGAUAACACUGACGCUCAUGCACGAAAGCGUGGGGAGCAGACAGG
rnacentral:rRNA from 1 species